ensembl:rRNA 5S_rRNA 5S ribosomal RNA
GUCUACAGCCAUACCACCCUGAACACACGCAAUCUCAUCUGAUCUCGGAAGCUACAUAGGGUUGGGCCUGGUUAGUACUUGGAUGAGAAAAAGAGCAUGGGGCCAGACU